rnacentral:rRNA from 1 species
CUUUAUGUGUUUAUAUGUGUUUUAUAUAAAUUUAUAUAAUUAAUAAUUUAUAUAAGAUAUUUAGCUGGGGCGGCGAAUAGAGAAUUUUUAGUAUCUCUUUAGAAGUAAAACAUAAAUAAAUGGAAUAAUAGAUCCUUAAAUUAGGAUUAAAAGAAAAGUU